rnacentral:rRNA from 1 species
UACGUAGGGUGCGAGCGUUAAUCGGAAUUACUGGGCGUAAAGCGUGCGCAGGCGGUUCGUUGUGUCGGCGGUGAAAGCCCCGGGCUUAACCUGGGAACGGCCGUUGAAACUGGCGAACUGGAGUGUGGCAGAGGGGGGUGGAAUUCCGCGUGUAGCAGUGAAAUGCGUAGAGAUGCGGAGGAACACCGAUGGCGAAGGCGGUGUGCUGGGCCGUAGCUGACGCUGAGGCGCGACAGCGUGGGGAGCAAACAGG